UACGUAGGGGGCAAGCGUUGUCCGGAUUUAUUGGGCGUAAAGAGCGUGUAGGCGGCCAGACAGGUCCGUUGUGAAAACUCGAGGCUCAACCUCGAGACGCCGAUGGAAACCGUUUGGCUAGAGUCCGGAAGAGGAGAGUGGAAUUCCUGGUGUAGCGGUGAAAUGCGCAGAUAUCAGGAAGAACACCCGUGGCUAAGGCGGCUCUCUAGGACGGUACUGACGCUGAGACGCGAAAGCGUGGGGAGCGAACAGG
rnacentral:rRNA from 1 species